rnacentral:rRNA from 1 species
AGCAGUAGUGGAAUCUUCGGCAAUGGGGGAAACCCUGACCGAGCAACGCCGCGUGAGUGAAGAAGGAUUUCGGUCUGUAAAGCUCUGUUGUAAGGGAAGAAUGGUACUGAAGAAUCAGUAAGUGACGGUACCUUACCAGAAAGCCACGGCUAACUACGUGCCAGCAGCCGCGGUAAUACGUAGGUGGCGAGCGUUAUCCGGAAUUAUUGGGCGUAAAGGGUGCGCAGGCGGUUUGAAUAGUCCAAGGUAAAAGCGUGGAGCUUAACUCCAUUUGGCCUUGGAAACUGUCAGACUAGAGUGCAAGAGAGGGUAGUGGAAUUCCAUGUGUAGCGGUGAAAU